AACCCAUGUUGAGGAUAUUUCCACAGGAGCUCUUUGAAUCUGUCCUAUGUCUGAAAAAGAGACUCAAAUUCCAUUUGCACAAAAGAAGAUAUCUCAUUCCUAAGCUU